GUGGGGAAUAUUGGACAAUGGGCGCAAGCCUGAUCCAGCAAUGCCGCGUGUGUGAAGAAGGCCUGCGGGUUGUAAAGCACUUUAAGCAGGGAGGAGGGGUACUGGCGUGAAUAGCGUUGGUAUCUGACGUUACCUGCAGAAUAAGCACCGGCUAACUUCGUGCCAGCAGCCGCGGUAAUACGAAGGGUGCAAGCGUUAAUCGGAAUUACUGGGCGUAAAGCGCGUGUAGGCGGUUAUUUAAGUCAGAUGUGAAAGCCCCGGGCUCAACCUGGGAAUGGCAUUUGAUACUGGGUAACUGGAAUGUGGUAGAGGGAGGCGGAAUUUCCGGUGUAGCGGUGAAAUGCGUAGAUAUCGGAAAGAACACCAAUGGCGAAGGCAGCCUCCUGGGCCAACAUUGACGCUGAGACGCGAAAGCGUGGGGAGCAAACAGGAUUAGAAACCCUAGUAGUCC
rnacentral:rRNA from 1 species